rnacentral:tRNA from 12 species
GCAGAUGUGGCGGAAUUGGUAGACGCGCCACCUUGAGGGGGUGGUGACUUAGGUCGUGAGAGUUCGAGUCUCUCCAUCUGCACCA